rnacentral:lncRNA from 1 species
UUCUUUUAAUCAGUGCAGAGCAGAGUGUACCGGAUUUCAGUCAGUUGAGAUGAGAUUAGAGAUCAGAAAAUCGCAGGUCCAGAGUUAAUUCAGAAAUCAAUGAUUCAGUCGCAGUUGGCAGAGACAGUCUUGAGACCGCUUAGAAUCACCAGUUUAGCUUCGUAGAUUUUGUGUUGAAGACCUUUAGAAUUUUAAGUGGGCAAGUGUUUAGUAUUUUGGAUCCAAAGUGGUUUGGGC